AAACAGCUGACUAGGAAACCACAGCUGGCUCGUCGAAGUAAAUAGACUCAAAUUGACCAAAUAUUUUAACUAAUUGGGCAAUUAAAGCCCCAAAAAUGCCAGCCCAUUGCACCGUGGUAAAUUGCAGCCAUAAAUAUGUGCAUGCCGGCAGCAUUUCCUUCCACAGAUUUCCCUUUAAACGAAAGGAUCUCCUCCAGAAAUGGAAGGACUUUACCCAGCGGAGUGGUCAGUGGAUGCCAUCCAAAUGGAGUGCGGUGUGCAGUCGUCAUUUUGUUGACGAUGACUUCAAUUGCAGUAACAAUAGAAAAACGCUCAAAAAGAAUGCUGUGCCUUCGAUCAGAGUUUCCGAAGAAGAUUCCCCGAAUUUCCACUUGGAACACGUGUCCCCCAGCUGCAGGCCCAUCCACAAACCGACCCUUGCCAGUGCCGCUGAAUCGCCGGCAACAGGUGUUAAGGCCACCUGCCGCUUCUGCGGCUCCUCUGCCACCAACUGCUCCUCGUUCGACAAGAGUUUCGAGCUCUUUGGCAUGAUCCAGAAGUGCUUUCCCACGCUUCAGAUCCUGCAGGACGACACCUUGCCCAAGGAUAUAUGCAAGGAGUGCUGCCUGCAACUGGAGCGCUUCUCCCAGUUCAUCGAUGUGGUGAUGCUGGCGCAGAGUGAGUUGCAGAAGAAAUACCGUCGCCAGCUGAAGAUCAAACAGGAACCCUUUGUCCGCGUGAAACAGGAGGCCUGCGAGAGUCUGGACAAUCUGUUUCCCGACGAACUGGACAUGGGCUUGGAGCAGGACGAGGGUUGCGAUCAGGAGGAAACCGAGCAAAAGUUUCAAUUCUGCGAUUUUCCCAUGCUAAAUUCGCAGGACAUCAUCAACAAUUGUGAUAUCAUGGAGAUUAUCAAUCUGGAUGAUCCGUUUAUCAAUAUUCCGGACGAUGCAGAUGUUGGGCAGUCGGAGAGAACGCAACCUGGAAGGUCGGCCAAUGAAAUGCUGCAAACGGAGCUGCUUACCGAGGAGCAUAACUAUGCCAAGGAGGAAUGGCAAUUGCCACCGCAUCAGUACAAAACGGAGAAGGUGGAGGGAGCAGAGGCUGCUCCGGACACGGCUCCUCCGCCUGCUGAACCACCUCCCAUUCAGGACUUGAUACCUUCUCUAUCCGCUCCCGAAGCCCGUUCCUGCAAACCCAUUGUGACCAAUGUUAGCCAGAUACCGAAUCCUUUGAUCUGCGAACUGCUGCCACAACCUGCGCCUCCAACUUCAGUCAAGCCCAACAUUGUGGUGCUAAACGAUAGUGUGGUGGAAUCUUCAGCGGCCUUUCGGCUGCACAACUGCACCUUGUGCACUGCUAAAUUCAUAACUAUAGAUAGCCUAAAUCAGCACUAUAACCACAGUCACAAUAAUACCACUCCCAUGGUCAGCGUUCCUCCAAUGAAUAUAAGCUUGCCCAGCUUGACGAUGAACCACCCGAUGAAAUUGGAGGGCCACAGAGGAUUUGUGGCGACUGAACAAUUGGAUUACUGGCAAUCAGAGUGGCAAAAUAGUCCUGUGUCCACGCAACCAAGGAAAAAGAUUGAUAUUCUGGAUAUGCAAAGCAGUUUCUUGCAUCACAAAGAUCUCAUACCCACAUCAACUCAGCUAACAGCACCUGCUCCUGAUCCUCAACUGGCUGCAGUGACCGCUAACUACGCUAAGCUGGCAGUUAGAUAUCGCAAAUUGCAGUUAAAAUGCAAAAGUAUGAGAAAUCCUAGAAAGAGGCGUAGAAAAACAUAUGUUUGUCGGAUGUGCAAAAAGGUAUUUUCCAGUUUUAGGAAGUUACACCACCACCGCCGUUUAAAGGAGCACUUUGUAAGGCUAAUACCUAACUUUUCCGGUCGUUGUUCUGGUUGCUUGAAGUUCUUUCGAUCCCGCUUGGGCCUUCGCCAGCACAUGCGUUACAUUUGUCAAUCGCUGCCGCUCAAAAACCAUCGGCGCCUGCAGAGCUUCAAGUGCCGCCACUGCCAGGCCAUAUCCUUUGCCCACUGGCGCCUCUAUCGCCGUCAUGAACUCAAUUGCAGACUCCGAAAAUCUAAAAUGAAGGUCCAGAUAGCAGCUAAUUCAAAAAAGAGAGUCACGCCCGCCCAGAAUUUUGAAUGCAAUAUUUGUAAAAAGGCAUUUGGAUCGCUGAAUGGACUCCGCCAGCAUAAUAUUACCCACUCGACGGAACGGCAGCACAAGUGCGGCAUCUGUGAGCGUGUUUUCAAGCGGCGCAACGGACUAUCCCAACACAUUAAGGGAUACCACCUGCAGCUCAAGCCGCACGAGUGUCCCGUCUGCCAGCAUCGCUAUGCCCUGAAAUGUGAUAUGUUGAGGUGCAGGCAUUCCCUUCGAAAAGGGCCAACUGCUGGGGAGUAACAGGAGUCCAGGAGAUGACUGACAAAUGGGCAGGGCAAAUAGCCUACCGAGUAGAAGAUUUGCUAGUUUAAUUGCUCCGAUGUUUUGGAUCCUCUAUUAACACGUGGAUUCAUGACACACCAUCGUGUGUAUAACUCUGGGUUUCCAUGUCAGCACUAAGCAUAAAGUCACUCCAUGUGGUACUUAGUUGGUGGUCUCGUACUAAAGCUAGCAAGGUGAUGAAGAGGGCGCAGCAGGAAUGAAAUUGCUGCUAGUCAAGGGCACUGGUGAUAAAGUCUUCCAUGUAUUUACACAUUUGAAUAUCGCUUGACUUAUGAGGAACAAGGUUUGACACUUUUAAGGGCACAACAAAUGAGAAAAAACUUUAAAUCU